UUGUAAAUUUUAAUUUUUACCACUAUUAAAAUGGUAAAUUUUGUGUAAAAAAUAAUUUGUGUAAAAAUUUUCAGCGUGUAAUUUAAAAAUGUAAUUUUACCAUUAUUCAAGUGGAACUGUGUCACUAAAAAAUUGGUAAAAAUUCCACUGCGUGUAAAAUUUGGUGCGUGUAAUCGAAAACGUGUAAAUUCGCCAUUACAGUUUGACAGCUGCAGAAGCAUCCACCUCGGUGAGUAUUUUCCUUUGUUUUCCGACUUUUCACGCCCUAAUUUUGUUUAAAAAGGACCAAAUCCCUUAAGUAAAAAGUAAAAUGCGUCUACUCAGUGCGGGUUUUCAAGUGUUUUUGCGAAAAAUAGUGAAAAAAUCCCAGUGUGAAAUGCCUGGUUGCGGGGCAUUAUUUUACUCAUAAAUUUUCUGUCUAAAAGGGCAGUUUUUGGCCACUGGUGGUCCCCAAAGUAGCCCCCAGAGUGAUCAUCAACCCUAUAGUGAGAUCCUUUCAAAAACCGGUGCAAAAAUCUGCAACUUUUUUAACAGGUUUUGAACGUGUUCCAAACUUGUCAAAAUUCCACGUAUUAUUCCCGGAAAAGACGAUUUCUCUCAGUGUUCUGUCCUGUAGUGCGCUUCUGUGAUCUUAGUGAGUUCAAAAUUCAUCCCUCAGUGAUCCCCGCAUGUUCAACUGAUUUAUUAUUAAGCUCAUUUUUGCAUUAUGGAAUUUUUCCAGUCGCAUUUCUGCCAUUCCGGGAAUAAUUUCUGUGAUUAACACGGGUUCACGUCAUUCCCAUUUUGAUACAAUUUGGUUUAUUUUCUAUUCACAGAAGAAAAGUUUACGGGGAUGGACAACAAGACGGGAUAAAAGUCAAGAGGCUGAGUGAAUGACUGGAAGACGGAAUUCAGCAAUUUGUAAGGACGUGAAGGAGGAAUAGCUGGUAGAGCAGUGAUCAGAGAAGGAAGAUAGCAGAGCGCUUAAGGUUUCAGCUUUUCUCUUAUUUUCUUCUAAAUUCACUAAUCAUCAUCAAUAUCAUCAACAAAAUAAAAUCAUCCCCAGUACUCGGCUUGGGACAUCACCUAUUGGAAAUGGAAAAAAUGAAGGAGCGAGAAAAUAAAAAAUUCUAUUUUGUGAGCAUUUGACAGGGAAAUAAAAUUACACGUUUGAAA